AUGUGUUAAAGAGGAAUAAGAACAUUUUGAGCAUCUUGCACAGCAUGAGACUGAGAAAUCAGAACCUUGUAUCACCUCAGACGUGCAAAAGUCAGAAGCCAAACAAAGAAUAAGGUCGUAAUACAAGAGUAUGGGAAUGGAGAAGAGUUAUCAAUUUUUUCCAAGACUGACGUGUAAGUUGGUCCUGAAGGAGAUGUAAAGAGGCUACAAGGAGAAAGACAAAAUCAGUCAGAAGAACUGUUGUUUUUCUCAAUGCCACUGAACCAAUCACCUCAGAUGGCUCAAUACCUUGCUUGAUCUUCAACAUAUGCACAGGAAGGAUCCAGUAUCCCCUGGAGACUGAUUUUACCUUCUACAAAGAUGGAGCAAAGUUCUACUGCACAUGAGAACAGAAUGCACAAAAGAGUAAAGAGUGGAGAAAGAACAGAUCUGUCUACCACUGUAGCUAUCCCAUGGUAACAUAAGCUGUUGUGAUAGGGAACUAGUUGGGGGUGUGCUGAUCCAUAAUCCUCAAAGUAGAGGAAAAAAGACAAGGGAAAUGAAAUGUUCUCUGAGAACCACAGAAUUAAAAAAAAAAAAAACAAACCUAUAAUUAUAACUUAAUAUUCCAGCAGCAAUGAAAACUCAGUAGUUUUCAAAGAUAAAACCCCCUAUCUCUCUAACCCAUAUCUCCAAAGAGUCAUGAGCACAAAGGAUGAAAAAACUGCCCUCUACUGAAUUACAGAAUGGUCAGAGUCCAUGACUGCUGAAUGCAGAACAGGAGUAGAAACUAAAUUUAGUUUCCUAACUUCUAUUUCAAUACCUAAAUAUAAAUGGCCUGAUUUUUUUUCAAAGAUGUUGAACAGUUCCAGAUUCCUCUGAUUUAUGUUGCUACUUAAAGAAAAAAAAAAAUAUUUUUUUUUUAUUUAAGUAUCUAACAAUAGUACACAGAUUUCUGCCCUUAUAGACCAGAGGUUUGCAGCCUACUUUGUAAAAUAAUUAGAUGCCAUUGUGCCUUCCAAAGAUGGAUAGAGCUGCAAAAGAAAAUAUUUAUUCUGUGUUUUCCUAUUAAUGAAGAAAACGAAGAGCACAAUUCCCAUAGCCCUAAGUGUGCAGUAAUAUUUGGAUUUUUUUCUCUCCCUACCACUCUAAGUGUAUAAUGGAAAUACACUAGAGGAGAGAAUUAAUGUUGGAAGCAUCCUUGUCACUGCAAACCUUCUUUGGAGUAUAGUGCAGUUGUGACUACACUAGUAGUGAAUUAAGCUUUUCAUUAUUUUUAAAUUAGCCUUCAGUCCUAGGUGAUUUUUUGUUUCCGAAUGUAAUGGAAAUCUAGAAUUUGUGACGUAGGCAACUUAUGUAUCCAACAGUAUAUGGCAUUAUCUUCUGCUCCAGAAGAUUUGUAACUCUGUGAAAGAAGUACUAGGAAGAAUAAAAGUUCCUGCCAUUUUCAGACCUCCAGUGCUUCCUGGACAGUCGAGCAUUUCAGAGUGACACAAGGGAAAAGGGGAAAUGUGGAUUCUUACACAAUGUACAAGACCAUACAAUAAAUAAUGUAAUGCAUAAGUAAAGCUGAAUAACCCUAUCCCCAAGAAACCUGAGUGACACUAUUAUCAAGUCUUUAUUUGGUGAAGCAUGUAAAACUGAAUUUGUGAACUCAUCUGAAAACAAAAAGACAAAUGUACCAAACAAACCUUUUUACAAACAAAAACAGAAAAAGGGCAGGAGAGGAGUAAAACUUUAUAAAUCACAUCCUUGAGUCUGAGAAAAUCUCAGAUUAUACUGUUAGUGUCAGUGUCCCAGAAGGGCUGACAAUUCUGCCUUGCUGUGUUCCUCAUAGAAGAAAGGAUUUGACCAGGAAUGUCUGAAAUUGAGUUUCUAGUAACUGCAAUUAAAAUAGCACAAAUCAACAUUCCCUAGUUUGCCUAGUUACCCUACUUGCAGCCCCCUUGACCUGCCUCCCCCUCCCCACACCCCCCCUCCCAAGAGGAUUAGAUUCAUCAUUUGACUUUGAUUUUGAUGUUUUAUCUUUUAUAUGACAGUUUACUAGGAAUAGUGUAUCUGAGCACCCUAUAUGAAAAUAAUACCAAAAAAAGCUUGAAUUGUUUCUUCAAGUUAUUUUUUCAAGUACAUCUGGAAUACUCUGCUUGACUCCUUUAUUAAUAUGCUGAGUACCUGAUAAAUCUAGAUAUGUAAAGAUGGCAUUAACUUAAUAAAAUAAAUUGAUUUCAUCUAAUAAUAAUAUUGAUGGUGACUUGGCAGGGGAAAGCACAAAUGAAGAUGACUUUGAAACCUUUAAAUGUUUUCUGAAGAAAGUGCAAUUAUCCGAUGAUCUUUCAUCUUAGGAACAAAAGACUAAAUAAAUUGAACUAAGGUUAUAACAUAUAAUUAAUAACAUACAUAUAUACAGGUUUUAGUGUAACUCACAGAACAUUAAUUAUAGCACUUAUUUCACAGCUGUUCCAUGAAAGCUCAAGUAAAAUGUCUCUACAAUUAAAACUGAAUAUAUACUGACUUCAUUAAAUUAACAGCUGCACCAAUAACCAAUACCAAGGA